rnacentral:lncRNA from 1 species
GGGGAGAGCACUAAGCACAUUGGUGAGGCCGGAACAAAGUAGCAAGAGUGAGUCACAAAUGAUACAGUUGAAGCUAGUCCACCAAGGUUCAUGAAGGUGAGGCGGAGGAGUUGGAGGUGAUGGGAGAAGUCAGAGUGAGCUGCUUUCAGAGGGCCUGAGCAGGGGGAAUAUACGUUUUAGCAGAGGGGAGCAGGAUGGCGAGAAACCAGAAACAAAAAGACCCCAAAGAUGUCCCCACAGGAUUGGUCCUUCCUGAUCUGCAAUCUCUGUGAAAGAAACGGCUGGCCCGUGGACAUUUCUACAGAGAUAAAGUCAAAGAUCGGUUUGUGGGGGCGGCGACAGGGCACAGGCAGGAUUUGGAAGAUUGAGGCCUAAUUUAGCUCAGAUCACCGUCUGAUUGCCCCACCUGUGCUCUCCUUGGCAUCUCCCACUCACCUCACGCUUCUGACAUGGGUGCUGCCUGCUCAUUGCCAGCACAGAGAGAGGAGAAACAACUUCAUCCUGGCCUUCUACCCAGCCUGAAGCUGCAUGUGGCAUGAGGUUACCCAGCCAUCAUGCAAGAGGGUCCAAUCUAGACCCCAAGGAGAGGAACUGAGGCCCCCAGCCAAUAGCCAGCAUCCACUGCCAGACAUGGGAGUGAAGGAUCAAAUGCAGGACCGGUCAGUAAGCAGCUGAGGGAUCUCUGUCCAUGGCCCCGUAGUUGGCCCUGUGCUGCUAUGAGGAUGAAGGAGGCAGGGGCCCUGAAGCCCCUAGGAAUUUUAUUUGCUGUUUGGAGGCAUCAAGUUCUUAAUAAAAGUAGCAUCAACGCAGAAGACCUGGGUUCAUGUCACAGCUGAGCUCCUGCUCGCUGAGUCACCUGGGGUAGCCCACGGAGCCCUCUAAGCCUCAAUUUCUUCAGCUGCAAGUGGUCCUGAUGGCUGGUUUUGGAUCAAACAAUGCAGUGCAUGUGAAAAAGAGAUGAUAGGCUUUAAAAAGAGUUCUUCCUUCCACAGGUAUCUAUUGGGGGUCUUUUACUGUGCAAAUGCUUAGGAUCUAAAGAUACGAGUAACAGGCCAGACUCCUGCCCUCAGGAAGUUCCUCCAGUGGCUGUUAUUAUUGAGGAUAGUUGAAUAAACGGGGCCACUCACAAGAAGCAAAUGGAGAGCUUUGUCAGAUUAUGGAAGAUUGUAUUUCCAAAGAUAGCAGCCCCCUACCCCACCCCAUGCUCUUCUUGUCACGUGACAGACUCCAGGGUGGAGUUAUGUUCCCUCCCCUUGAAUCUGAGUGGGGCUGUGACUGCUGUGACCAAUGGGUUAUGAGGAAAGCAGUGUAGAUCAUCAAAAGGUGAGGUCAUAAAAAGAAUAUAGUUCAUGCCUGGUUCUCUCUCAGUUACCCAGCCAUCAUGCAAGAGGGUCCAAUCUAGACCCCAAGGAGAGGAACUGAGGCCCCCAGCCAAUAGCCAGCAUCCACUGCCAGACAUGGGAGUGAAGGAUCAUGCAAACAAUUCCAGUUCCCAGCUUUCAAGCCUUCCAGGUGUGACCCCAGACAUCGUGGAGCAGAGACAAGCCAUCCCCACUUUGCUCUGUCCAAAUUCCUGACCCACAGAACCCAGGAACAUAACAAAGGGGGUCUCAUUCCCCUAAGUCUUGGG